AUGGGCUCCACCGCCGACGAGGAAGCGUGCAUGUUCGCUCUCCAGCUCGGCUCAUCAUCGAUCCUGCCGAUGACGCUCAAGAACGCCAUCGAGCUGGGCCUCUUGGAUACCCUGGUGGCUGCUGACGGCAAGCUGCUGAGCCCGGCCGAGGUGGCCGCUAAGCUCCCGUCCACAGUGAACCCGGCCGCGCCGGAUAUGGUGGACCGCAUGCUGCGGCUGCUGGCCUCGUACAAGGUGGUGUCAUGCACCGUGGAGGAGGGCAAGGACGGCCGCCUCUCCCGGCGGUACGGCGCCGCGCCUGUGUGCAAGUUCCUUACCCCCAACGAGGAGGGGGUCUCCAUGGCGCCUCUCGCGCUCAUGAAUCAGGACAAGGUCCUCAUGGAGAGCUGGUACUAUCUGAAGGACGCUGUACUUGACGGCGGCAUCCCGUUCAACAAGGCGUAUGGGAUGUCGGCAUUCAAGUAUCAUGGCACGGACCCGCGCUUCAACCGCGUCUUCAAUGAAGGGAUGAAGAACCAUUCCAUCAUCAUCACCAAGAAGCUCCUUGAAUUGUAUAAGGGCUUCAGUGGCCUCGGCACCCUCGUGGACGUGGGCGGUGGCAUAGGCGCCACCGUCGGCGCCAUCACCGCCCACUAUCCCACCAUAAAAGGCAUCAACUUUGACCUUCAUCACGUCAUCUCCGAGGCUCCGCCGUUCCUGGGUGUCACCCACAUUGGUGGAGACAUGUUCCAAAAGAUUCCCUCGGGGGACACCAUCCUCAUGAAGUGGAUCCUCCAUGACUGGAGCAACGAGCAUUGUGCAACGCUGCUUAAGAACUGCUAUGACGCGCUGCCGGCGCACGGCAAGGUGAUGCUCGUGGAGUCCAUCCUGCCGGUGAACCCGGAAGCCACGCCUGAGGCGCAAGGGGGGUUCCAUCUGGACAUGAUCAUGCUAGCGCACAACCCGGGUGGCAGGGAGAGGUACGAGAGGGAGUUCGAAGCCCUGGCCAAGGGUGCCGGGUUCGGAGCCAUCAAGACCACUUACAUCUACGCCAACAUAUGGGUUAUCGAGUUCACUAAGUAG
rnacentral:rRNA from 1 species